UACGUAGGGGGCAAGCGUUGUCCGGAAUCAUUGGGCGUAAAGAGCGUGUAGGCGGCCCGAUAAGUCCGCUGUGAAAGUCCAGGGCUCAACCCUGGAAUGCCGGUGGAUACUGUCGGGCUCGAAUCCGGAAGAGGUGAGUGGAAUUCCUGGUGUAGCGGUGAAAUGCGUAGAUAUCGGGAGGAACACCUGUGGCGAAGGCGGCCACCUGGUUGGAUACUGACGCUGAGACGCGAAAGCGUGGGGAGCAAACAGG
rnacentral:rRNA from 1 species